AACGAACGCUGGCGGCAUGCCUAACACAUGCAAGUCGAACGAGACCUUCGGGUCUAGUGGCGCACGGGUGCGUCACGCGUGGGAACCUGCCCUUAGGUUCGGAAUAACUCCCCGACAGGGGUGCUAAUGCCGGAUAAUGUCUUCGGACCAAAGAUUUAUCGACUUUGGAUGGGCCCGCGUUGGAUUAGCUAGUUGGUAGGGUAAAAGCCUACCAAGGCGACGAUCCAUAGCUGGUCUGAGAGGAUGGUCAGCCACACUGGGACUGGGACACGGCCCAGACUCCUACGGGAGGGAGCAGUGGGGAAUAUUGGACAAUGGGCGAAAGCCUGAUCCAGCAAUGCCGCGUGAGUGAUGAAGGCCUUAGGGUUGUAAAGCUCUUUUACCCGGGAUGAUAAUGACAGUACCGGGAGAAUAAGCUCCGGCUAACUCCGUG
rnacentral:rRNA from 1 species